CAAAGCAAAUAACACCAGGAUAAUCUUCAGCAAGAAGAGCACACAACAAUCAUGCCUCAAUUGAUAAAUAGUAAUACAACAAUCAACAUUUAUAAAAAAAACUUGACUCCAAAGAGCAUUGUAUUGUCCCUUCUGAAUAUAAGCCAAGCAAAAUAACAUGGGCUCUUUAACCUGCCCCACAAAAAAUGCACUAUAAUUUUAACAGAUUGGUUGAAAGAAGAAGCCAAGUAACCUGAAACACAAAUAUGAGGUCACCUACCAAUUUUCUACAAAAGAGAGACGAACAUUCACACGAGAGAGUUGGUCACCUUGUUCUUCACCAAAUCUUCUAUUGGAUUCUUCUGUUCAUCUUCUUUCUCAAAUCUGGAAAAUUGUGGUGUUUAGAUAAAUCGUAUAUCAGGAAAUCAAGACCAAUGACAAGAAAUAAAUAGGUAAAGGGAGAACCUAAAACUGUUCUUUCACACGAGCACCCCCUCUUCUCCGCCCCUUCAAUAGGAGCUGCAGGUCACCGCCUCCAUCUCCCUCACCCCUGCAUAUCACCGCCUCUCGCCCUCCCUCGACAUCCGGGCCACGGAGCAAGGGACGAAGGAUGGAGGCGUACCAGGGGUCGAUGGUAAGUCGAGCGACGAAGGACGAGGCCGGCCGCACGGGGGAGGGAGGAGGACCAACGAGCUCAGCGGGUGGGAAGCCAUGAAGGAAAAGAUCUCACCGCCUCCAACUCGAGCUCGUCGGCGAGCCGUCCUCUCCUGCCCCGCCUUAGCACCUCCAU
rnacentral:lncRNA from 1 species